rnacentral:rRNA from 1 species
CCUACGGGUGGCAGCAGUGGGGAAUAUUGCACAAUGGGGGCAACUCUGAUGCAGCGACGCCGCGUGAGUGAAGAAGUAUUUCGGUAUGUAAAGCUCUUUCAGCAGGGAAGAAAAUGACACUAUCUGCCUUAGAAGCCCCAGCUAUCUACGUGUCAGCAGCCGCGGGAAUACGUAGGGGUCAAGCGUUAUCUGGAUUUACUGGGUGUAAAGGGGGCGUAGACGGCAAGACAAGUCAGAAGUGAAAGCCCGCGGCUCAACCCUGGGACUGCAUUUGAAACUGCCGGGCUGGAGUGCAGGAGAGGUAAGCGGAAUUCCUAGUGUAGCGGUGAAAUGCGUAGAUAUUAGGAGGAACACCAGUGGCGAAGGCGGCUUACUGGACGAUAACUGACGUUGAGGCGCGAAAGCGUGGGGAGCAAACAGGAUUAGAUACCCUAGUAGUC